AAAAAAAAAAAAAAAAAAAAGAUUAUAAUUAUGUAUUUGCAUAGACAACAAUAAAUAUGAAUUACUGCUCAAGCUUGUUAUAUUUCUUAGGACAUGGAAGCACUAUGUCUAUGAGAUACAUUAGUUCAGCAUACUUCAGACUGACAUUUUAUUCUUGAGAAAUCUUGAUCAAUAUAGUUUUCAAUUGGAUUGAUUAGUUCUAAGACAAACAUCAUAGUACAAUAUGGAGAAGUCAAACAAACAACUAUGGACUUAUAAAUAGAAAUGUCUGGUGAAAUAUUCCCAUUGAAGGGACUGUACAUAAAAACCGGGAUAUCAUCCUUUGAUCUGGCGACUGAAACAGGAAAUCACUGUAUCACUAGCUACAUCAUAAAGAACAUAAAGAGCUAACAGAACAAACAAAAAAACUAGACUUUCUACAUUUUUAUUUGUUCUAGAAUUUUCCCUGUAGACAUUUUCAUAAUGGAUGGUGAACAUUAUAAAUUACAAAACAGUUUGAUAAUGUCAACUUAAAAGUGAUCUUGCAAUGUUUGAAAUUGAUUUAACAAUAAUUAAUCUAUUUCUUCACUACUAUUAUUCUUUCCUUCAUUAUUUAAAAGGUAAAAUAAAAAAAAGUAUUUUUAAAACGUGUUUGAUAAAUGAUAUAGGCUUGUGACCAAUACCUUCCAGUUUCAAUCAUCCAGUGCAUAAUUGAAAUAAUAAAAGAAUGGGGAAGGUAAGAACCACUGGGUUAGUUUGGUGUUUUGGAUUCAGCAGAGUCAAAUGUGGAGAGACAGGGAAAUGAGAUUCCAAAAGAAAUAAAUGUCGAAACACAUUUUUUUGUGUCUACUUUCAAUACCUAAAAAGAAAUUUAAUACAAACUAAAGAGCUAAAGAAGUCUGACUAUCCCCAGUGGGUCUUAUAAAUGCAAUGAUGACUGCCUAUCCUGGCAAAAAAAAAAAAAAAAG